rnacentral:tRNA from 1 species
AGCUGAUGAGCUUGAAACAAGCAUAUGUUUUGAAAACAUAAGAUAGAAAAUAAAUUUUCUAUCAGCUU